rnacentral:rRNA from 1 species
GACUCUGUUAAGGUGGCCCUGAGGAGGGGUAAUGCCUUCAACACCUGGUACUGAGACACGGACCAAGACUCCUACGGGAUGCAGCAAGUGAGUCAUCCUGCGCAAAUGGAGGCCGACUCUGACGCAGCUCAUGCCGCGUGCAGGGAGGACGGCGCUACGCGUUUGUAAACUGCUUUUAAACCGGCCAGAUAACCCCAGAACGUGUCCUGGGGUUGACGGUACCGGAGGACUAAGCACCGGCUGACAUCGUGCCAGCAGCCGCGGUAAUACGAAGGGUGCAAGCGUUAUCCGGAUUCAUUGGGUUUAAAGGGUGCGUAGGUGGGGCGUUAAGUCAGUGGUGAAAGCUUACAGCUCAACUGUAGAAUUGCCAUUGAUACUGGCGCUCUUGAGUGCGCUUGAAGUAGGCGGAAUGUGCCGUGUAGCGGUGAAAUGCUUAGAUAUGGCACAGAACACCAAUUGCGAAGGCAGCUUACUAAGGCGAUACUGACACUGAGGCACGAAAGCGUGGGGAUCGAACAGGAUUAGAUACCCUGGUAGUCCACGCCGUAAACGAUGAUCACUCGUCAUUGGCGAUAUACGGUCAGUGACCUAGCGAAAGCGUUAAGUGAUCCACCUGGGGAGUACGAUCGCAAGAUUGAAACUCAAAGGAAUUGACGGGGGCCCGCACAAGCGGUGGAGCAUGUGGUUUAAUUCGAUGAUACGCGAGGAACCUUACCAGGGCUCGAACGUGCGUUUCACAGUCGCGGAUAACGCUGAUCUUCUUCGUACUAGACGUGCAGAGGUGCUUGCAUGGUCUGUCGUCAGCUCG